GUUUUUCAGUGAGAGGAGAAUGCUGCAGAGCAGAGAGAGUGCUUUCCAGUGGCUAGGAAAAGUUGGUGGAUUGGGGAUUCUAGAAGGAGCCUCAAAAAUUUGAGUCCUGGGCUGUCACAGUCCAGCUCUUAUGAAAGUGGCCAAACCUGGGAGGGAAUGGCUACUUGGCUCCCUACAGGCAGCAUGAAGACUCUUCAAGUGUUGCGGCUCCCGGCUUUCUGCGCGUGCCCAGCCCCACCCUGCAUUCCCGCGUGUGUUUGUGGAUGGCCCGAUUCCACGUUGGGAAGUGACGUGGGAAGUGAGAGCCCCCUGGACGCCUUCCUCCCCCUGUCCUGGGCCCGGCCGAGGGGCUCCCUGUAAGAACCUCCCUUUCCCUCUGCCCUACGCUCCUGGAGACAUUCCGACCACACCUCCUGCAUCGGGGACCUCUGCACCCUCCUGGAGCCUGUCCACCCUCCAUGGGGAGACGGCACCCUCACUGCGAGUUUCUGCCGACUGGGGGCUCUUGAGUCUAUGCCAGGGCACACUUGGAUAUACCCGCUGCUUGACGAGCCCCAGGCAUCAUUUGUUCGCGGGUGUGUGUUUCAUUCCAAGACUCUCGCUGGGUUUUGCCCGUCUUUCUGCCUUUUGCUGCUCAUCAACUUAGCACAGGAUGAGUAAACAGCCCUCAGACUGGCUCCAGCCAUUUUGUGGUUUAAAAAGGAGCUCAGAGCUGUUUGAAAAUGAGAUUGGCAGAGAAGCGUGUGGCUGUCACAUGUGUCUCCCUCCCGGCCCGGUCUGUUUAAUCACGGGCUGACCGCUGGUGCUCUGACCCCCAAAGAAGCAGAUGUCAAGGGGCUGAAUCACACGGGGGAAUUCCCAGCCCUCUGACCCUAGGCUGUGUGCUGGCCUUUCUCCCCCUUCCAUGGUCCCUAUUUCUCUCAUGCCAUCAUUAGGAGAUUGAGAAGUCUCUAAUUCCAUGGGGUGGGCUGGGUGCAGGGCCAUUAGGACAAGAGGCCCAGCUCUGGGA
rnacentral:lncRNA from 1 species